AUUGAACGCUGGCGGAAUGCUUUACACAUGCAAGUCGAGCGGCAGCGCGGGGGCGAACCCUGGCGGCGAGCGGCGAACGGGUGAGUAACAUAUCGGAACGUACCCAGUCGUGGGGGAGUAACUAUCCGAAAGGAUAGCUAAUACCGCAUACGUCCUGAGGGAGAAAGCGGGGGAGUCGCAAGACCUCGCGCGAUUGGAGCGGCCGAUAUCGGAUUAGCUAGUUGGUGGGGUAAAGGCUCACCAAGGCGACGAUCCGUAGCGGGUCGUGAGAGGACGACCCGCCACACUGGAACUGAGACACGGUCCAGACUCCUACGGGAGGCAGCAGUGGGGAAUUUUGGACAAUGGGGGCGAACCCUGAUCCAGCCAUUCCGCGUGAGUGAAGAAGGCC
rnacentral:rRNA from 1 species